CAGCCGCCGCGGUAAUACCGGCGGCCCGAGUGGCGGCCACUAUUAUUGGGCUUAAAGCGUCCGUAGCCGGGUUGGUUAGUCUCCCGGGAAAUCUGGCCGCUUAACGGUCAGAAUUCCGGGAGAUACUGCCAGCCUAGGGACCGGGAGAGGCCGAGGGUAUUCCCGGAGUAGGGGUGAAAUCCUAUAAUCCCGGGAGGACCACCUGUGGCGAAGGCGCUCGGCUGGAACGGGUCCGACGGUGAGGGACGAAGGCCAGGGGAGCAAACCGGAGUAGAUACCCGGGUAGUCCUGGCGGUAAACGAUGCGGACUUUGUGUCGGACAAGCUAUGAGCUUGUCCGGUGCCGGAGGGAAACCGUUAAGUCCGCCGCCUGGGGAGUACGGCCGCAAGGCUGAAACUUAAAGGAAUUGGCGGG
rnacentral:rRNA from 1 species